CCGGCCAAGCUGCCUCAGUUCCACGAGGCGCCGCUGCUGGUGCCGUACCUGGCGCAGUUCCUGCUUGCUGCGAUUUGAGCAGCGGACUUUCAGUGACCAGAGCAGGGAGCAGCCAGCUGGUCGCCACCGCCAGGAGGAGGAGAGCCUGGGGGCUAAGCUAACGCCGCUGGCGCUAGGCUCUACGCCCAACACGGGUACCCAGAGGUCCCCCCCAUGCUGCGCGGGAGGAUCUGGCCCUCCACGCCGCCCUACAGGGGCUCACCCCGGAGCAGGAGUAUGGGGCCCGAGGGUUGAAGACUCGUUUGACCUGGGAUCGUCUAGUUCGUCCCGUGCUGCUCGCCACAGUAUCUUUGCGCAGAAAAAAAUUACACAAAACCAGCAGCGAGCACCAGAGGCAUCGUGUGUUGGAGGUGAAGCUCAUUUUAACACCCAUCCACAGUGAGGCAGUGAAGACCAAGACAAAUGGCUAUAAAACACCACAUCUGUUUGUUGAAGCAGAAGAAGUCCUUCAUCUCUAUCCUUCUAGAUACACAUCUCUGCACUCCUGGAAGGGUGCCCUUUGGACGUCCCUUCUGUAGUGCUGAAGUUGUAGUGCUGAAGUUGUAGUGCUGAAGUUGCCUCCCUGAUUGCCAUCCAAUCGUCAGUCUGUCAACUGUCCUCUUCCCUGAAGCUGGUCAGCCCCUCUAACAAGGCUCCCCUAAAUGACUUGUGAACGUUGAAUCCUGGCCCCUACGACCCAGUCUGACCCUGCUGUGUCUGAUGGCACGGGUCACAAAGUCAGGAGGUUUAACCCUCUGCCCCAGACAGAGGAAGGCCUUCAUGGGGAGAGUACAGAGUUCAGUACUCAGGUUGUUUGAGCUUAUUCCUUGUCUUUUGUUUGCCUAAGAGUUAAAACAAAGUUAUAUUAAUAAUAGAUCCAUGCCAAUCAGAUUUGUAAAAUUAUAUAGUCCCACAUCACUCAUAAAUAACCAACUUUCUCAACAAAUGCACGCUGGAUCAAAUGUGUAUUAAACAUAAUAAAUGAAAGUGAAACUAUUUUUUUACCUUUCUUUUUAUAUGUAAAGAGAUGGUGAGGCUUAAAAUCAUAACUGGAACCCCAACUACCAAUGCAAUAAGAAUGAUCCAAAGUUUGUUAAAUGAUCUCUCUGGAACAGAAAGGGAAAAUGAUUAUUAUUAUUUCUAUAAUAAGGAUGAGAAUAAUAACAAUGAGAGCAAGACACAUCCUAAUACCUUCAUAAUAAACAUG